rnacentral:rRNA from 1 species
UUGUGAAGANUUACNAAGUCUGGCCUGCCCACUGAUUAAUUAAAGGGCCGCGGUAUUUCUGACCGUGCGAAGGUAGCAUAAUCAUUAGUCUUUUAAUUGAAGGCUUGUAUGAAAGGUCGAACGAGUGAUAAGCUGUCUCGAAAAAAAAUGUUGAAUUUAACUUUAAAGUGAAAAGGCUUUAAUGCUCUAGAAAGACGAUAAGACCCUAUAAAUCUUUACAUUUAAUUUUGUAUCAGGUUAGUUUGUUAGUGAAAGAAGAGGUACAAGGAGAAGUGUUUUGUUGGGGCAACAGAGAUAUAAUUAACUAAUUGUUUUAUAUUAAAAACAGAUAUUUUUGAUAGUAAAUGAUCCUUUUUAAAGAUUAAGAGAUUAAGUUACUUUAGGGAUAACAGCGUUAUUUUUCUUGAGAGUCCUUAUCGAAAGAAAAGUUUGCGACCUCGAUGUUGAAUUAAAAUUUCUUUAUAGUGCAGCAGUUAUAAAAGAGAGUCUGUUCGACU